UCCGAUAACACAUCCUUGACAGGCUGAAGUUUACAGAUGGACAUCCGGUAGCGUAUAUAAACAUCGCCGAGGCCGAACUGUCAUACAACUUGACAGUUUCAUCAUAUGACACUUGCAACAUGAAGGCUGCAGUUUUAUGUCUCCUUGUCCUCUGUUUCCUGGCUGUAAGUCAAGCUGACCUGGACAUCAUCACUGUCUCCGAUUGUCACGAAGGGGCGUUCUGUCCCAUGAACCGAGGAGCUACCUGCAGGCUUGAAUGCUGGAAAAAUAACAAGAACGAAAUCGAAUGCCUUGAACGAUGGUACGAGGGAGAACAGCGAGCGGUUUGUGUUGUGUAAUGACUUCAAGGUCAACGUUGUUGUGUUCAAUGUAAACAACAAUAAAACAGGAGUUAGUAAACAA